rnacentral:rRNA from 1 species
GGGUAAGUAGGUUGGUCGUGCCACCGGUACGUACUGGUCUCACUGAUUCCUCCUUCCUGAAGAACCGUAAUGCCAUUAAUUUGGUGUUGCGGGGAAACAGGACUGUUACUUUGAAAAAAUUAGAGUGUUUAAAGCAAGCUAACGCUUGAAUACAUUAGCAUGGAAUAAUGAAAUAGGACGAUCGAUCCUAUUUUGUUGGUUCCUAGGAUUGACGUA